GGGUCUUUAGCUCAGUUGGGAGAGCGCCUGCAUGGCAUGCAGGAGGUCUCCGUUAAGAUCCA
rnacentral:tRNA from 1 species